rnacentral:rRNA from 1 species
UACGUAGGGUGCAAGCGUUAAUCGGAAUUACUGGGCGUAAAGCGUGCGCAGGCGGUUAUGCAAGACAGAUGUUAAAUCCCCGGGCUCAACCUGGGAACUGCAUUUGUGACUGCAUGGCUAGAGUACGGUAGAGGGGGAUGGAAUUCCGCGUGUAGCAGUGAAAUGCGUAGAUAUGCGGAGGAACACCGAUGGCGAAGGCAAUCCCCUGGACCUGUACUGACGCUCAUGCACGAAAGCGUGGGGAGCAAACAGG